AAUGCCCUACUGUGUACGUGGUCUACCCUGAAGUUUUGAUCCAACACAUUAGAAGAGGGAGCAUUUGCUCUGGGUGUGGCUUGCAAGCCUCAUCGUGAGGGAACAUAAAUCAUCCAGGCAGGCACCCACCUGUGAGAGCAGGUUCAAACUUUUGGUGGGCACGGCAUUUGUGGGGUCUUA
rnacentral:other from 1 species